rnacentral:rRNA from 1 species
CAGUCGAGCGAGCGGAACCACAGAUUUACUUCGGUAAUGACGUUGGGAAAGCGAGCGGCGGAUGGGUGAGUAACACGUGGGGAACCUGCCCCUAAGUCUGGGAUACCAUUUGGAAACAGGUGCUAAUACCGGAUAAUAAAGCAGAUCGCAUGAUCAGCUUUUGAAAGGCGGCGUAAGCUGUCGCUAAGGGAUGGCCCCGCGGUGCAUUAGCUAGUUGGUAAGGUAACGGCUUACCAAGGCGACGAUGCAUAGCCGAGUUGAGAGACUGAUCGGCCACAUUGGGACUGAGACACGGCCCAAACUCCUACGGGAGGCAGCAGUAGGGAAUCUUCCACAAUGGACGCAAGUCUGAUGGAGCAACGCCGCGUGAGUGAAGAAGGUUUUCGGAUCGUAAAGCUCUGUUGUUGGUGAAGAAGGAUAGAGGUAGUAACUGGCCUUUAUUUGACGGUAAUCAACCAGAAAGUCACGGCUAACUACGUGCCAGCAGCCGCGGUGAUACGUAGGUGGCAAGCGUUGUCCGGAUUUAUUGGGCGUAAAGCGAGCGCAGGCGGAAAAAUAAGUCUAAUGUGAAAGCCCUCGGCUUAACCGAGGAACUGCAUCGGAAACUGUUUUUCUUGAGUGCAGAAGAGGAGAGUGGAACUCCAUGUGUAGCGGUGGAAUGCGUAGAUAUAUGGAAGAACACCAGUGGCGAAGGCGGCUCUCUGGUCUGCAACUGACGCUGAGGCUCGAAAGCAUGGGUAGCGAACAGGAUUAGAUACCCUGGUAGUCCAUGCCGUAAACGAUGAGUGCUAAGUGUUGGGAGGUUUCCGCCUCUCAGUGCUGCAGCUAACGCAUUAAGCACUCCGCCUGGGGAGUACGACCGCAAGGUUGAAACUCAAAG